rnacentral:rRNA from 1 species
UAGUCCACGCCGUAAACGAUGAGUACUAGCUAUUGGGGGUAUUGACUCCCUCAGUGGCGCAGCUAACGCAUUAAGUACUCCGCCUGGGAAGUACGGUCGCAAGACAAAACUCAAAGGAAUUGACGGGGGCCCGCACAAGCGGUGGAUUAUGUGGUUUAAUUCGAAGCAACGCGCAGAACCUUACCUAGGCUUGAAAUCCCUCGAAUCCCGAGUAACUUUGGGAGUGCCCGCAAGGGAAUGAGGUGACAGGUGCUGCAUGGCUGUCGUCAGCUCGUGUUGUGAAAUGUUGGGUUAAGUCCCGCAACGAGCGCAACCCCUGCCUAUAGUUGCCAGCAAGUAAUGUUGGGGACUCUAUAGGGACUGCCUGCGCAAGCAGAGAGGAAGGAGGGGACGACGUCAAGUCAUCAUGGCCCUUACGCCCGGGGCUACACACGUGCUACAAUGGAGAGUACAGAGGGUAGCGACAUAGCAAUAUGAAGCCAAUCUCAAAAAGCUACUUCUC